GUUACUCCAGUGUGCUGAAGCAUUUGGGUUGACAUCUCAGCUGAAAGGAUUUGCUGCCACUGAUGCUAUAAUCAUCUAUAAGUCCUGGCUGACCUUGCUUCUAAAGGUGAAGGUGGAAAACAAUAGCAGGGGAGCAAAUGCUGAGCAUAUUUCAAGCACAAUAAUGGGAAAUGCUGAUGACCUCCCAUUGCCACCCAGUCCUUUUCCUGCCCCUGGCAAGACCUCUGAUUUCUCCCCACCACUGUGCUGCUGGCCUCUCCAACAAGGCAGCCUAUUGAUGCAGAGAGGAAAUGCCUGGCAAUCCCAGUGAAGGAGUCACAAGCACCACCUCUUAAACAGAUUUUUGGCAGGAAUGAUCUAACUGCUCGUGGUAGAUAAACUGCUAGUUUCCAGUUCUUUGCCAGUGAAGAAAGGAUUAUGCUUCCCCUCCCCUUCUCUUUUUCAUUCUAAGUGAGAGGUUAAUGAAAUGUCCCUCCAGGAUGAAUGAAAGCACAGGAAUCCUUUGUUGGACUGGAGCCUGCCAUGGAUGUGCUCCCUGGGAAGGAUCCUCCCACCAUUACCUUUGCUGUCUGGGGAUUGAAUUCAUUAUGCUCAGUGCAGCCUGCUUGAAAGGGACAUCAGGUAA